rnacentral:rRNA from 1 species
AUUGAACGCUGGCGGCAUGCCUUACACAUGCAAGUCGAACGGCAGCACGGGUCCUUGCCCCUGGUUGCGAGUCGCGCGCGUGUGAAUUGUCUAUCGGUCUAUCUCCUGUUGUGGGGUAUAGUCCGGCGACGGCCGGUUUUAUACCGCAUACCCUCUGCGGGAUAGUGCGGGGUCUCCUCACGUCUCGCUCUCUGGUGUUCGUAGGUCGGAUUAGCUAGUUGGUGGGGUAAAGGCCUACCAAGGCGACGAUCAGUAGCUGGUCUGAGAGGACGAUCAGCCACACUGGAACUGAGACACGGUCCAGACUCCUACGGGAGGCAGCAGUGGGGAAUUUUGGACAAUGGGCGAAAGCCUGAUCCAGCAAUGCCGCGUGUGUGAAGAAGGCCUUCGGAUUGUAAAGCACUUUUGUUCGGAAAGAAAGCCUGGGAGCUAAUACAGUCGGGGGAUGACGGUACCGGAAGAAUAAGCACCGGCUAACUACGUG